UAGGGAAUCUUCCGCAAUGGGCGAAAGCCUGACGGAGCAACGCCGCGUGAGUGAUGAAGGUCUUCGGAUCGUAAAACUCUGUUAUUAGGGAAGAACAAAUGUGUAAGUAACUAUGCACGUCUUGACGGUACCUAAUCAGAAAGCCACGGCUAACUACGUGUCAGCAGCCGCGGUAAUACGUAGGUGGCAAGCGUUAUCCGGAAUUAUUGGGCGUAAAGCGCGCGUAGGCGGUUUUUUAAGUCUGAUGUGAAAGCCCACGGCUCAACCGUGGAGGGUCAUUGGAAACUGGAAAACUUGAGUGCAGAAGAGGAAAGUGGAAUUCCAUGUGUAGCGGUGAAAUGCGCAGAGAUAUGGGGGAACACCAGUGGCGAAGGCGACUUUCUGGUCUGUAACUGACGCUGAUGUGCGAAAGCGUGGGGAUCAAACAGG
rnacentral:rRNA from 1 species